rnacentral:rRNA from 1 species
UGGGGAAUUUUGGACAAUGGGGGAAACCCUGAUCCAGCCAUCCCGCGUGUGCGAUGAAGGCCUUCGGGUUGUAAAGCACUUUUGGCAGGAAAGAAACGUCGCGGGUUAAUACCCCGCGAAACUGACGGUACCUGCAGAAUAAGCACCGGCUAACUACGUGCCAGCAGCCGCGGUAAUACGUAGGGUGCAAGCGUUAAUCGGAAUUACUGGGCGUAAAGCGUGCGCAGGCGGUUCGGAAAGAAAGAUGUGAAAUCCCAGAGCUUAACUUUGGAACUGCAUUUUUAACUACCGGGCUAGAGUGUGUCAGAGGGAGGUGGAAUUCCGCGUGUAGCAGUGAAAUGCGUAGAUAUGCGGAGGAACACCGAUGGCGAAGGCAGCCUCCUGGGAUAACGCUGACGCUCAUGCACGAAAGCGUGGGGAGCAAACAGGAUUAGAUACCCUGGUAGUCCACGCCCUAAACGAUGUCAACUAGCUGUUGGGGCCUUCGGGCCUUGGUAGCGCAGCUAACGCGUGAAGUUGACCGCCUGGGGAGUACGGUCGCAAGAUUAAAA